rnacentral:rRNA from 1 species
GUUAAAAAGCUCGUAGUUGGAUCUCAGGUCCCGGCUCGCGGUUCACCUCGCGGUGCUUUACUGCCCGUCCGGACCUAACCCGCCGGUCUCCUCCCUUGGUGCCCUUCGCUGGGUGUCUCGGGUGGCCGGAAAGCUUACUUUGAAAAAAUUAGAGUGUUCAAAGCAGGCGCUUCCGCCUGGAUAAUGGUGCAUGGAAUAAUGGAAUAGGACCUCGGUUCUAUUGUGUUGGUUUUCGGAGCUCGAGGUAAUGAUUAAGAGGGACAGACGGGGGCAUUCGUAUUACGGUGUUAGAGGUGAAAUUCUUGGAUCGCCGUAAGACGAACUACUGCGAAAGCAUUUGCCAAGAAUGUUUUCAUUAAUCAAGAACGAAAGUCAGAGGUUCGAAGACGAUCAGAUACCGUCCUAGUUCUGACCAUAAACGAUGUCGACUGGAGAUCCGCCGGAGUUGUUUCACUGACCCGGCUGGCAUCCUCCGGGAAACCUUAAGUCUAUGGAUUCCGGGGGAAGUAUGGUUGCAAAGCUGAAACUUAAAGGAAUUGACGGAAGGGCACCACCAGGAGUGGAGCCUGCGGCUUAAUUUGACUCAACACGGGGAACCUCACCAGGCCAGGACACCGUAAGGAUUGACAGAUUGAUAGCUCUUUCUUGAUUCGGUGGGUGGUGGUGCAUGGCCGUUCUUAGUUGGUGGAGCGAUUUGUCUGGUUAAUUCCGAUAACGAACGAGACUCUAGCCUAUUAAAUAGUUCGCCGAUUCUUCUACGUGUCGGUGCCAACUUCUUAGAGGGACAAGUGGCGUUUAGCCACGCGAGAUUGAGCAAUAACAGGUCUGUGAUGCCCUUA